GGGAGGGGGAGGGAGGAGGGCUCCUGGUAGCUUCUUGUAGGCAGUGUGUAGUGUAGGGUUGGUGCUGGCUGAAGGGUGGAGACUGAGCAGCAGCGGGGAGGGCGUAUGUCAGCUGGAUCAGCAAGAGAGAGCAGCCAGAGCAGAGCAGGAGAGAGGGAGCCACAGCACAGCACAGUGAGAGAGUGUGUGUGUAUGAGCGCGCCUGCCUGCCUUCCUGCUAGCCUGCCUGACUGUGUGAGUGUGUGUGUGAGAGGGAGAGUCAGUAAGCGUGUGGAUACUACUCCACCAGCCUGCAUGUCUCUGGCGUCACUAGGGGAGCAGCACGCACAUUACAGAGAGUAGGGCUGAACCAGAGUUCUGACAGAACUGCAGGCCAGAAGGACACCAGGACAGUGUGCGGCGGAGUGAGCAGACAAGACAGACAGACAGACUACACAAGGCCUAGCUCAGAAGCCCUAUCAUGGCGUCCAACAACACAGCAUGCAUCGCCCAGGCCAGGAAACUGGUAGAGCAGCUGAAGAUGGAGGCCAACAUCGACAGGAUAAAGGUGUCCAAAGCAGCAGCAGACUUAAUGUCAUACUGCGAAGCCCAUGCCAAAGAGGACCCCCUCCUGUCGCCAGUGCCCGCAUCCGAAAACCCUUUUAGGGAGAAGAAGUUCUUCUGUGUCAUCCUGUAAACAGGAUGUGGUUUAUUUGGUCUGCUCAUCUUGGGACAUGAACGAGGACGUUCAAUAGGUAGACAUCUUCUAACAGGAGGGCUUGGUGAAGUACUAGUGCCCCUUUCUCUACAAUGGCACCUAAAGAGUGCAAUUAAAAACCACAGAGUAACACGUAACCAUUUACAGCGGUUAAGGGGUGUGCAGCAUGUUUGAUGGAUCCAUCUGUGUAGUCAGAUUACAACAGAAGAUAAGUAUGGUUAUCCACCCAAAAAACAUGAUGGACAACCAAUCAACCAAGUCUUCAGGUUGUGUUGGGUUUUUUAAAAUGAAGGAUAAAACAACAACAAAAUAUUGUGUGGUUCUUUUGGAACUUGAAAUCCAAGUGUUAUGUUCAAUGGUUUGUGGUGGGUUGGGUAGGGUAGGUGUGCUGGCUAACUGAGCUGCUUACCACGAGAUAUUACCACCUGUUUAUCUGAAUGUUUUGAUUUUUGUUGUUUAUCUCAUGUUGAUUUUGAUUCAUUGGUUUAGGUUCAUUGGUUUGGCUAUAUCACUUAGAUAUCUUUGUAUUAUUGUACAGUACUAGUCAAAAGUUUGGACACACCUACUCAUUCAAGGGUUUUUAUUUAUUUUAAAUAUUUUCUACAUUGUAGAAUAAUAGUGAAGACAUCAAAACUAUGAAAUAACACAAAUGGAAUCAUGUAGUAACCAAAAAGUGUUAAACAAAUCAAAAUAUAUUUUAUAUUUGAGAUUCUUCAAAGUAGCCACCCUUUGCCUUGAUGACAGCUUUGCACACUCUUGGCAUUCUCUCAACCAGCUUCACCUGGAAUGCUUUUCAAACAGUCUUGAAGGAGUUCCCAAAUAUGCUGAGCACUUGUUGGCUGCUUUUCCUUCCCCAAAGCAAGUCUCUUCUUAUUAUUGGUGUUCUUUAGUAGUGGUUUCUUUGCAGCAAUUCGACCAUGAAGGCCUGAUUCACGUAGUCUCCUCUGAACAGUUGAUGUUGAGAUGUAUCUGUUACUUGAACUCUGUGAAGCAUGUAUUAGGGCUCCAAUUUCUGAGGCUGGUAACUCAAAUGAACUUAUCCUCUGCAGCAGAGGUAACUCUGGGUCUUCCUUUCCUGUGGCGGUCCUCAUGAGAGCCAGUUUCAUCAUAGCGCUUGAUGGUUUUUGCGACUGCACUUGAAGAAACUUUCAAAGUUCUUAAAAUGUUCCGGAUUGAUUGACCUUCAUGUCUUAAAGUAAUGAUGGACUGUCGUUUCUUAUUGCUUAUUCGAGCUGUUCUUGCCAUAAUAUGGACUUGGUCAUUUACCAAAUAGGGCUACCCCCCUACCUUGUCAUAUCACAACUGAUUGGCUCAAUCGCUUUAAAAAGGAAAGAAAUUCCACAAAUUAACUUUUAACAAGGCACACCUGUCAAUUGAAAUGCAUUCCAGGUGACUACCUCAUGAAGUUGGUUGAGAGAAUGCCAAGAGUGUGCAAAGCUGUCAUCAAGGCAAAGUGUGGCUACUUUGAAGAAUCUCAAAUAUAAAAUAUAUUUUGAUUUGUUUAACCCUUUUAUGUUACCACAUGAUUCCAUAUGUGUUAUUUCAUAGUUUAGAUGUCUUCACUAUUAUUUUACAAUGUAGAAAAUAGUAAAAGUAAAGAAAAACUGGAGUGAGUAUGUGUGUCCAACCUUUUGACUGGUACUGUAUGUGAUUACUGAAACGGCUGUUUAAACUUUUAUUUUUUUACAUCGGAGUUGGUGAAAGCUUUUUAAUGGGAAGUUUGAACAUUCAAUUCAGUGAUAUUCUUUACAGACAUGUUUCUUUAAACUUCUGAGAAUAGUUUUUUCUUCAGUAUCUAAACAUAUAUCUGGCAAUGUGAUACGGUAUUUGUUUCCUUUCAGAUACAAGCUCUCUUUUUACUCUUUGUAUAAAAAUGCUAGCAAGUAAACUGUGUUGUGCUGUGCGUUCUGAAUGUUUGUGUUGAUAUCACUAAUAAUUGCAUGAAAUUAUCAAACAACAAUUUUUUCUUUUGUUUUAAUGUGGAGAUUGUAUGAACAAGGCAGCCUCCGUCUGGUAGUGCCAACUGUAUUAAAAUUAUAGUAAUGAUUCAACAUAGACUCCAUAAAGACAUCUCUGUCAUGGGAAAAACUGAAGUGACGUAACUGAGCUGCAAGCCGAUGAGGAAUUUCACAAUUGGUUAACAUUAGAUUAAGGUUACGGUUAAUGUUAGGCUUAGGGGUAAAGUUAGGGUUAGAUUACAUUUUUGAGUUUAGAAUAGGGUCAGUUUUAGGUUUUGACUAGCUGGGCUGUUAAUGGGAUGCUGGUCAGAAAAGUCCCUUAAGUUUAGUAUUUUGGGGUUUGGGUCAGGGUUAGUGUUUUAGGGGGUGGAUAUGUACAGCACUUUGAACAUUAAGCUACUAGUUGAAGUAUUAGACAGCGAUGACCAUUUACAUUCACAUGCCCCAGAUCAUGAGGGUUAUUCAUAAAACUAUAUCAAAUGUAUCGAUCACCCAUUCGAGUUGAAAGGAGGAAUCCAGUAGAUAUCCCAGACUGCGCAGAAUCUAUAAUAGGUGACUGAUAAUUGCUGUACCAUCGUUUUGGUUGAGUACCUGUUCCCUUCAUCACAAAACAAGAGGUAGGCCUACACAUAUUAUGAGGUCCAUUCAUAUUUAUAAUCUUGGCAAUUGUCCACAUGCCUAAAUAAAUGAAGGAAGUUGCACAUAAGAAGUGAUUCUUUUUUUAAAUUCACUGCAGUAUUGCAGAAACGUGUUGUGUGUUACUAAAUACUCAAACAGAACGGUAGAAAAGGAGAAUGAUGAUCGUCUUGGAGUGGAGAUGGCGGUCCAUGAAUUCUAACACAAUCGUUCACAUUUGUCUAGUUCAACCAGU
rnacentral:lncRNA from 1 species